UACGUAGGGUGCGAGCGUUGUCCGGAAUUAUUGGGCGUAAAGGGCUCGUAGGCGGUUUGUCGCGUCGGGAGUGAAAACUCAGGGCUUAACCCUGAGCCUGCUUCCGAUACGGGCAGACUAGAGGUAUGCAGGGGAGAACGGAAUUCCUGGUGUAGCGGUGAAAUGCGCAGAUAUCAGGAGGAACACCGGUGGCGAAGGCGGUUCUCUGGGCAUUACCUGACGCUGAGGAGCGAAAGCUAGGGGAGCAAACAGG
rnacentral:rRNA from 1 species